GUGUAGCAGAAAUGAUGACGGAUGAUGAUGGCAGCAGCAGCCGUUCUCCUCUGCGCCCAGGAGCGGUCGUGAGGGAUCAGAUGUUGACUCUUUGACACUCGUUGCAACCUGAUGUCGCAGCUACCUGUGGAGUGUGCUCUUAGGUUAACACCUGUGUGUUGGAGCGGGCUCAGGUGUCCGUUUCAUUAAUGAUGGAUGAUUGUUUCUUCCUGACAUCACCUGGAUUUCUAACAAAAAAAAAGAAAGUAUUUGUGCCUCAUUCUCGUCUGCUCUGCUGAAGAUCUCUCACACACAUGUACGUAUAUGUACACAAGAUGCCUGGAUGUUUAGAGGUUUCAUCUGCAUAAGCCAAGAGGAUGCAUACAUGUCUUUAAAGUCAAGAUUACAGGAAAGGUAACUAUUCCCUGUGUGGCACUGAUUCCUACCAUCCAUCCAUAUUCAUCCAUUAGCCCUUAGUGAACAAUUUUAUUUCCUAAAAUAAUUUCCAGUGUUAAAUAUAGAAUUUCCAUUUGUUAAUCCAUACUGUAGCAUGCUGCUGUCUUUCACCUAUUUAUUAUGUUCAUAUACUCACAUUAUAAUGCAGGUAAGGGCGUUAUUUCCUGUAAUGAAAUGGAACUUCAAUUAUUUUAUUUUAAAUUAAAAUGUAAUUAUAUUGAGUUACAAAUACUUACAGGUAGGUAGAAUAAGAAUAGAAUGAACAAGUAAUAAUUUGGUUUUCGCAAGAACAAAAAAUAAAUAUACUGUCAAGAAAUUUAAAUAAUGUGUAAGUAAUUUUAGGUAGUGCGUGAGCAAUUUAAAGUAUUGCAUAACUUCUGGUAUUUUAUAGGAACGGAGACACUCUUUUCCUGAAAUUCCAUUAAAGUACAAGUGAAUUAAGGUCUUAGCUGUGGGCUGUAUUAUAAAGUGUUACCCAAUUUUUAACCCUUAGCCUGAGAUUACAAAUUAAAUUACAGAAUUACAAAACACCUGGUCAUCAAAAAGACCUCCGAAAUCUCAGUGUGUUUAGUUAAAACGCAGAAAUGAUUGUGCGUAUGUUUUACCAGAUGCAAAAUAAUGUAGUGUCAGCCAGAGCCGCUGCUCUCUCCUUAUCUUUCAUCCCUGAUUUCUCUGUUUUUACUGCAGCUGGUGUUUUUCACUGUGCUGUUGAAAGAAGGUUUGCCAAUUCUCCCACCACAGACUGUGGAGGAGAUACCAGGAAAUGGGCUGCCGCAAAACGUGAGCAGGAUAGGACCACUAGAAGGGCAUCAGCCCCUGCAGCAGGACUGCUCCUUUGAGUGAGGAGCAGGAGGAGUGCUGCCAGAGCCGGACAAAGUGACCUCCAGCAGGAGACUUUUGUGCAUGUUUCUGUCCAAACUGUUAGCAGAGUAUUAGGGUGGCAUAACGCCCCGACAUCGUUUAGUGAGACCUGUGCUCACAGACCAGCAUCAUGCGUGUGACUUGCAUUAUCCAGAGAACAAGAGAGCCGGCAGAUCCACCAAUGAGCUCCAUUCUCUCUACGUGUGACACAUGAGGAAGAGAACUUUACGCUGCCUGCAGCCUCCAUCAGCAUGACUGGACGGCUGACUGGCAGAACAUCCGGAACGGUAUACAUCAGUGCAUCCGAUGCUGCCAAAUAGCCCAAUAGACCUUAAAAUCAUUGAUCUAGGUCUGGGAGGAGAUCCAUAGGACACCAUCUACCGUCUCAUCCAAAGCAUGCCCAGUUGUCAGGAGGGCCAAAAACACGAUUGAUCCACAUGUAACACCUGGAUCAGGGUUUUUUUUGAGUAGUUAUUGUUUAUCUUCAAAAUAAAAUCAAAAUGUGGAGAUUAAAGUUUCAGUUUCAAGUCUUUCACGGCUGUUAAACUGUCUACGUUCCAGUGCGAUUGAAGAGGCGCUAUAUCUGGUCAGAAGUUAAAACCACACAAACUUGGCGAGACUUGUUCAAAAUG